rnacentral:rRNA from 1 species
UACAGAGGUGGCAAGCGUUGUUCGGAAUUACUGGGCGUAAAGGGCGCGUAGGCGGCCAUUUAAGUCGGGGGUGAAAGCCUGUGGCUCAACCACAGAAUUGCCUUCGAUACUGGAUGGCUUGAGACCGGAAGAGGUAAGUGGAACUGCGAGUGUAGAGGUGAAAUUCGUAGAUAUUCGCAAGAACACCAGUGGCGAAGGCGGCUUACUGGUCCGGAUCUGACGCUGAGGCGCGAAAGCGUGGGGAGCGAACAGG